GGGACCGUGGUGUAGGGGUUAAGCGUGGUUGCCUCUCACCCAGUCGGCCUGGGUUCGAUCCCAGAUGGUCCCG
rnacentral:tRNA from 1 species